rnacentral:rRNA from 1 species
GACAAACCUUGUAGCGUCUUUAAUUGGUGGUGCGCGGGAAACCAGAACGGUAACUUUAAAAAAUUUAAGUGGUUAAAGCCAGGCAACCCCUGAAUAACUUAACCAGGAAAAAGAAAUAAGAACUUUAAACCUAUUUUGUUGGUUUCUAGGAUCGACGUAAUGAUUAAUAGGGAUAGUUGGGGGCAUUAGUAUUCAAUUGUCAGAGGUGAAAUUCUUGGAUUUAUUGAAGACUGACUACUGCGAAAGCAUUUGCCAAGGAUGUUUUCAUUAAUCAAGAACGAAAGUUAGGGGAUCGAAAACGAUCAGAUACCGUCGUAGUCUUAACCAUAAACUAUGCCAACAAGGGAUCGAAUGAUGUUAUUUUUAAAGACAC